AAAGAGAAAUGUCAGUUAUUACUUAGAUAAUGAUGUUUUCAGUAUUCAAUGGAUCAUCAUCGUUUUCCCAUUUUCUUCUGUUCUUUAUCUCUGCCUAUCUUUCUUUCCUUCUCUCUUUCAAUCACGUGUGAAAUAACACGACAUAGAUAUGAAACGUCAAAUUGUGGUCGACAUGUCAUCGCGGGAAUAAUGGUAACUGAGAUCCCUAAGCUGUGGGAUGAGCCGAAAGGCAAUAUAUCUAAUCAGAAAAGGAUUUGAGGAGCGUGGGACAGUCCAAAGACUAAUCAAAGUCAAAGCUAAUGUCAAGUGAAAUCCAAUCAGGACCUCCUGUACAGGUCCAUAGGAUCGUUUAUGAGGACCUGGGGAUGAAGGGCCAGAGGAAAGUAGCACCUCAUCGAUGAGUCAACAAAAGCAAAACGGCUCGCGAGAUCAAUAUUACUCCACAUGCUCAAGGUUGGAACGCCAACAAUUUUGUGUUCUGAGGAAAAACAUUUUAGGAUGGAUUGGGUAUCAAACAUAAGUGUUGUAGCUUCCAAUAGCAAAAAACGUCCUCGAUUUUUAUCCGCAACAAAGAAAAAAUCAAUACAGUCCAUUACAUCAAUCUCUUAAGAGACACGUGUCAAGCCCUGGAUUGAGGUGGUGUUUGGAGAUGAGACAUAUAUCUUCCAUCUGAAUUAUUCUCCAUGCCGCAGAGCCCAAAAAAAAAGCCAAGAUUGGCUCUCCAAAAAUAUGACCUCAUUUUGGUUCAAGGACAUGUGGCCUCCCAGCUACCCCACCUGAACCCAUUGUACUACAACAUUUAGGGUAAGCUUGAGAGAGUUGCCUGCAACAAAUCACAGAACUCAACAUCACCCCUGGA
rnacentral:lncRNA from 1 species